rnacentral:rRNA from 1 species
AUUGAACGCUGGCGGCAUGCCUUACACAUGCAAGUCGAACGGUAACGGGCCUUCUUUUGCCGACUAGUGGCGAACGGGUUAGUAAUACAUCUGAACGUUCCCGAUCGUGGGUUAUAACGAGGCUAAAGCUUUUCUAAUACCGCAUACGAUCUACUUUUUUACGCAUGUGACCGCCAUGCCUUUCUCGUACUUAUCUGCCGAUGUCCGAUUAGUUAGUUGUUGGGAUAAAAGCUUACCAAGCCGACGAUCUUUAGCUGGUCUGAGAGGAUGAUCAGCCACACUGGGACUGAGACACGGCCCAGACGCCUACGGGAGGCAGCAGUGGGGAAUUUUGGACAAUGGGAGAAAGAAUGAUCCAGCCAGGCCGCGUGAAGGAUGAGGGACUUCGGGUUGUAAAAUGCUUUUGUACGGAACGAAAAGCAUUCUUUUAAUACAGGAGGGUAAUGACGGUACCGUAAGAAUAAGCACCGGCUAACUACGUG